rnacentral:lncRNA from 1 species
AUAAGGAUGGCUGUCACUAUCUCCACAGGUCAGAAGCCAUGAAAAAAGAAAACAGAAACACUUUGCUGUGAGUACAUGCCUCAAAUGUCUCUGGACUUGCAUUCAGUUUUUUAGACCAAGCUACCAUAAUGUUUGGUAAUGUCUGAAUUUUGAAUUAAUUAUAUUUCCAACCCAUCAAUCGUCACAAUGACAAAAUAAUCAAAACAAUGCAUGGUCAGAAGGCACAUAAAGUCACCCUCUUGCUUAAGUUAAGCUGGUCUGGGUUUCAGUGCCUGGAUAGAUGACUGCCUUUAGUUUCAUGACAUAAAUUACAAUAUUAAAAUAAAGAUAUAAAAACCCAACAACAGCAGCAACAACCCCUCAACAACAACAACAACACUGGAGUCUGUUCAGCAGUCUCAGCUGGAGCCGGUCAAAACCCUGCCCUCCUUCCAGAGGGAGAGAGCAAUAUGAGCAGAGGCUCCUUGCUCCUGUCCUGCAUAGCUGGUUGGUUAGAGCAAACCAGUGAACAGGCAGUGAUAGCAAAGAGGGGAGAAGGCAGGGUUGGGCUCCAGCAAUGGGCCCCUUAUUGUGAGCCUUGGCAGGUACUCCAGGGUGCAACUCCUGAUGUUUGCCCUGGCUGGCAGAUGCACAGAUGGCACUCCUCUAUUGCUUGGAUGGAAAAGGACAUAAUAGUAUUAUACUCCUUUGGCUUAAGAGGUGAGUCAAAGCAGUUUGCAGACAACAGGAGGGUUUCUCCUUCCAUGCCACAGCACGAGAAUGCUUCUUGCUUUACCUCAAGCUGUUUGGUAAAGCAGGGGUAAAAGGGAAGGAAAGGAAAGUGGGGGGUAGACUUGUUAGCUGUUCUUUUUUGUGGGAGGGAGGCUAUCCUUAUUUGAAUAAGUUUUCUGGUAUGAAUUAUCUGCCAAAUACAGCUAAAUGCCCAAGAUAGGGGUAGAAGAAGGCAGAGUUUUGUUGUGUUUGUGGGUAAGGAUAGGCAGAUUUGUCAUUUUCAGUUUCUCAUUUUUUUUCCUGAAGAGAAGGAGAGCCUCUGAAAUGUCCAGGUCAAACCUUCAAAUCCAUCUGUGGUACUCCACCAGGCUGUGAGACUUGGCAGUCACCAGUUGCCUUGCAGCAGAGCACUUAUUCCACUGCCUUGGAACCUAAAGCUAAACUUCCAAGGAUCCCUCCAGAUGGUGCAGGGACAUCAGUUGUUAUAAAGGACAUAGAAAAAACAGUUUUUGGCAGCAGAAUGAAAAUCUUGCCCAAAGAAAGAAUUAAGAGAAGGCAGGCAGCAUCCAGACUAGCAAUUCCACACAGCAAGGAGCUGUUUUAAGAAGCAGUUUUAAAGAACUUAACUCAGCAGGCAACAGGAUGUGUUAGGCACAGAUACCUUUUACAAAGCAUGUAUUAGUGUUUGAGAAGCUGUACUACAGGAGGUUCCCAAAAAGAAUUCUGGUAAGUCUCUGCAGUCACCUGUUUGGCUCAACUUUCAAGGAAGGUCAUAGGAGGGUUGUUGCAUCUACAGUCAUACCUCUUGUUACAUUCAGUUCAGGUUACGUCUUUUCAGGUUGUGUCCCGCGGCGACCCAGAAGUACCGGAAAGGGUUACUUCUGGGUUUCGCCGCUCGCGCAUGCGCAUACGCUCAAAAUGACAGCAUGCGCAGAAGCAGCGAAUCACGACCCACGAUUUUGUGCAGACGCGGGUUGCGUUCUGCUCAUGUUGCAAACGGGGCUCUGGAACGGAUCCCUUUCACAACCAGAAGUACCACUGUACUGUUUAGUCAUGAAGUAUCAGCACUCCAUAAUAUCUGCUCGCCCCAACCCUUGGGUGGGCAGGGUUUGCGACACCGUGUGGGCACCUGGAACAGGUGAGCCUUUGUUCCAGAGAGACCAUCGCCCUGCCCCCAUCUCGGCAGGCCUAUGGGCAGCAGGCUGGGGGUGGGGCGAGGGUCAGCUUAAGGGCAGUUGCUGUUGCUGCUUUCAGUCUCAGCAGUCACUGCACACGUUGCGAGGGAAUAAUUUAGAGCAAGGGUCAGCAAACGUACCGCGCCUCGGGCCGGUGUCUCCAGCGCUGAUCGUGCGGCGGUCUGGAGGGUGGGGGAGCGCGUGCCCAUACACGUGAGCACGCGCUAUUUCCGACACACGUCUGGGUUGGAGAAGCACCAGAAAUAACUUGUGUGUAUGUGCACGGGCCUCCUCCGACCCGGAUGUGCACCAGAAAUAACGCUUGCGCAUGCGUAAAUAACCCUUGCGCAUGUGCACAAGCUAUUUCCGGUGCUCCUCCGACCCAGAAGUGGGCAGCUGCGCAGCGCAGCUCCGGUAAGAGCGGGCAGCAGCAGCGGGGGUCACCGCGGGCCAGAUAAAUGAGUCCCUCAGGUCUUAUCCAGCCAGCAGACCUUAGUUUGGAGACCCCUGAUUUAGAGCAUAUUGAUAUAACAUUUAUAACAGUGUUUUUAUAUAUCCAGAUACUGAAUAUUACCUGUGACACUGUGAAGGCGUAGAUAUUAUUGGUGCAUUUUGUAAAAAAAAAUUGCAACCUCCCACCCCUUGGUUUGCAACCCUCCACCCCACUUCACGUUUGAUUGCUGUUGAUGGUUCCUGCCUGGUUCAUUUACUGUUAAUUUGCCUCCAUUGUGUGUGUUAUUUGUAAUCAUGGGCUGCCUGGAGGGCUUUUCGCAGUCUGAGGUGGUUAGUCUUUUGGUUCAUUGUUUAAGACCUGCAGAUACUCAUAAGUAUUGCUGUUGGUUUAAAUUAAUUCAUUUGCUUUAGCUUUUCAUUUUGGUUUAUUUCAUUAAAGUUGCGUCUGCAGGAAUUUAUUAUAGAGGUACUCUUGGCAAUCAUUAAAUGAUAAACAGUGGUAGUGGCCUUGUGGAUUCAUUUUAAUUAAGUUUAUACCCCUUGUUCUUCCCUGGCUGCUUUGUGCGCUUGGGGGUUUAAGCAUCUGGGUUUUUUCUUGCAUUUCAUUCAGUUGUUCAAUUGGUUUAAUUUUAUACAGGACCACUAGAUAGCUCGGUUAGAGUGUAGUGCUGAUAAUACCAAGUCAUAGGUCCAGUCCUCACUUGGGUCAGUGGCGUGUUCCUGCAUUACAGGGGGUUGGACUAGAUGAUGCUCAAGGUCCCUUCGAACUCCAUAAUUGUGUGUUUCAAAUAUGGUUGCUGUUCCUCACUUUCCAAUUUAAUUAAAGUUAUUACCAGUAGCUUGAAAGCAGUCAAUUACUAGCAACCACCUAUUUUCAGCCCUCCUCAGGGUGCGUUGUGCAGGUGAUUCCUGGUUCAAGCGUGAUGCGCCUGGAUGUAAUCUAACAUAUUACUGUAUUUAGCUUGCAAGUUUGCUUUUUGGCUUUGGGGGUGCAGUUCUUGCGGCUAACGUAUUGCAUGGGUUGCCUCAUGGUGGCUUACAGUUUUGGCUACCAGCACACGGCUUGGGUGAUGCAGUUCUGAUCUCAAGCAUAUGAUUGUGGGAAUCUAACGUAUUAUUUUGCUUGCCCUUCAGUAUUGCCUUUAGCGGUGCAUGUGCAGUAAGGUUGCUGGUGCUGUCUGUUAGACCUUAGUUUAGCAAUCCAACUGUUAGAUUUCAGCUUGCUCCCACAGUGUUACAUCAACAAGCAGCUGGUUAUUCCUUGUUUUCACAUGCUGGUUUUACCAUCAGGUCUCCCGUAAAGGGGGCAUUUCCACAUAAGAAAUGUAUGUAGAAGAAAUGUAACUAAGCAUAUGUGACAUCAAAAUGCUGAAGGGAAAAGCUUUGACAGCAAAAAGUACGUGCAUCAGUUGAACAUGUAAACUCACUGAAUGAUAAUUCCAACUUCAUGUUCACUGUGCAAUAAUUACUGGAAGCCAGCAUGUUGACCAGAUUAACAGUAAUUAAAAAAACCAGAGGAUCUAUAAAUAUGAGUUACUGCUACUUCCCAGAAAAUCAUCUUUGUGGGUAGAAAAGCCAAAUGCAAAUGACCCAGUUGGAACAGGUGGCUGCGAAAACGAUAUAAACACAUGCUUUGCAUUUGUUUUUAAUAGCACUUUUUAAAAUUCUCCAAGAAAACUCACAGUAAAAUCCCCAUGUGUGUGUGUAUAGGGGUGUCUUACAGAAGAUGUCCCAUUGAAGUGGGGGAGGGGGGCUUAUGUCUAAGUAGAUAGGACUGCACUGCACAACUAUUCCAAAAUUUAAAAGGCAGCAACAUCUCACAUUAUACAUUUGAAUCCAAAUACUAGUCUGGAAUAAAUCAGCAUGUUUGCUAGAUAGAUUUGUGUAUUAAAACACUUUAAAAAUUAAUGUACAAUAGCUUACAAGCCAGCAACACUGACAUAUUUAAUAAAGUGGAGAUUACAUAAAUAUUAAGGUAAAAGAAUGAAAAGCUUUGUUUUGGAAGAGGGGUAAAAUUAUAUUUCCUAGAAUUAAUGGAUAAUUAUUUUCUACUUAUAUGCUGUCAUGGAUGCAUGGAGAAGAGUAUCUGUAGUGACAAAGAAAGAGUUUCAUUCAUGUCACAACAGCAGUUUAAUGCUCACUGCAGCAUGGAGUUACAGUAUAUCUAACAGAUUUUUAAGAAUCCCACCCCUUUUGUGCUGAACAAAAAUCUCUUUUAUCUGUUUGGGAAUGACAUUCAAGUUAUAACUGUAUUAUAGAAAUCUGCAAGUUCACUUGAUCCUGAUGAAGAAACAUUUGAUUAGCCAUGCAGUGCUUUACACACACUUAAGAACAUUAGUCCAUCUACACUGUAUUGUCUACACUGCACAUAGGGCUCACUGAGGCUAAAUAUCUGGCUGCUAGGAAGGGAUGUGGUGAGAUCAUGGCAAAAUCCUUCUCCCCUUCUCAACACAUUCCAAAAAUCAGAGCACCCUGAAAAUCAGACAUAAUCAAGAAUAGCCACCAACCAAUGUUUCGUACAGAAUUAUCUCACUAGUACUGCAACUCUGCAUAAUAAAGUACUGAAACACAACAUUGAUCCAUUUGAAAGUAUUUAACCUAACUGGGACGCAGGUGGCACUGGGGACGUGGGUGGUGCUGUGGUCUAUCAGAAGGUCAGUGGUUCGAAUCCCCGCGACGGGGUGAGCUCCCGUUGCUCGGUCCCAGCUCCUGCCAACUUAGCAGUUUGAAAGCACGUCAAAGUGCAAGUAGAUAAAUAGGUACCGCUCCAGCGGAAAGGUAAAUGGUGUUUCUGUGUGCUGCUCUGGUUCGCCAGAAGCAGCUUAGUCAUGCUGGCCGGAAGCUGUCUGUGGACAAAUGCCGGCUCCCUCGGCCAGUAAAGCAAGAUGAGCGCCGCAAGCCCCGAGUCGUCUGCGACUGGACUUAAUGGUCAGGAGUCCCUUUACCUUUACCAUAAUUGUAAGACCACAUGGCAAUCUGGAGGUUUCCCCCCUUGGGACAGACAGUAGGGUUCAUUGGGGCAGGGAGCGUCUACCGGGAAAACUCGUUUCCUGCAUGCUACUGUCAUAGUCAUAGUCCAAAUUCUCCCAUGCUUUUGUUUAUUAACAUUUGCGUUCAAUAUGCUUAUUUGUGAGCCUUUAUUUUUGUAUCAGAGCGGCUUACAAGCAAUAAUAAAAACCAGUUGAAUGAUUACAACUUAAAAACAAAAUUAAAAUACAACAUUAAAAUAUUGAAACAUUAAAAUAUUGAAACAUUAAAAUAUUAAAAUGUAGCCUCAUCGCAGGAGG